CCUGCUCCCGGUCUCCGCCAUUGAAAGCAUUUCAUUCAGUGAGAGGAAGAGCUUUGUUUCAAAGAGAUAGAAAUGCAAAUAUUAGUGCCCAGGCAAAUACAUGAUGAGAUCAGUUUCAAGCUGAUGAUUCCCCCAGGCAAAUUUAAAGUGCAGGCAUCUCCUUCUAACUGACAGCAGGUAACGAAAAAGGCACCGUCUCUCACACAGCAACAGUCAACACAUGCAGUGAAAUGAGACAAAAGACCAUCAAUUACAGAGGAAUAUCUCUCUUCCUUGCUUGAGAACAACAGGUAUGACAUAAAAUACAUCAGUGAAUCCCAGGGACCGAGAUGUACCCAGUUAGGGUGAAUAUUGCAUUGCAGAAACCAUCAAGUGCCGAACAAACACAUUGUGUCGAUGUGUAUGGAGCGGAAGUAGUUGGCCGCUGUCGUAGUCCUUUUAACAGAGGUGAGAUUGGUCAGGUUCACGUGCAGCUUCAGGCCCAUUGUUUUCUAGAUGUUUGAUCAGAAAGGGCAAGAUCCCUGUUAUAGUGAACUGCUGCCCCCUCCUGACAGAAGAUGAGUCAUGCAACUGCACACGUAUACCGCAGAAACACUUGAAAUUGGAUGAUGGAAUUGGGAAAUGACAGAAUCAUAUGUAUGCAAUGAAGUAUAUUAAUCAAAUUCAAAACUCUAUAGUAUGAUGUGUUCCUACAUGCAGAUGGUGUAGCAUAGGAUAGAGUCUGAUGGUCAAACAGGGUUUAACGUUUCUGCCUUACGAGCAGUUGACCAUAGUUUGAUAAUCACCUGUUGCAGUGGAUGCUUAUUGAUCAUCGUCUCCAUGGAAAUCAGAGAAAAAGUCCCUGCAUAGAAGGAGGUCCCUGCUAACGAGAAAAAAAGAUCAGUUAGGAUGAUCAUUCAUGUGUUUCCAAUGUGAACUUCGGCUUCAGGGUGCUGCCGAACUCAUGAAGCAGAUAUUGACAAGUACAGUGAAUAUACAUAACACCACUCUCAUAGUGGGGACUGACAGAUACAGAAGAAAGCUGGAUUCACGUAACAGGGGCAGACACUUACACUGUAAAAACACAGACAGAUGCCAGAUAUAGAGAGGAGCAGAAUAAAAUCAUUUUUCCAUAUCCGACUUUCCAAAAUAGGAAGAGAUUGGGUCCCGAGUAAUCCAAUGUUAUUAGCUAGAAUAACAUCA